GACGAACGCUGGCGGCGUGCUUAACACAUGCAAGUCGAACGGAAAGGCCCUGCUUUUGUGGGUUGCUCGAGUGGCGAACGGGGGAGUAACACGUGAGUAACCUGCCCUUGACUUUGGGGUAACUUCUGGAAACUGGGGCUAAUAUCGGAUAGGAUCUCCUGCUGCAUGUUGGGGGUUGGAGAGUUUCGGCGGUUGUGGAUGGUCUCGCUGCUUACCAGCUGGUUGGGGGGGUAGUGGUUGACCAAGGUUUUGACGGGUAGCCGGCCUUGGAGGGGGGACGGCCACAUGGGUACUGAGGGACGGCCCAGAAGCCUACGGGACGCAGCAGUCGGGAGUAUUGCACAACGGGGCGAAGCCUGAGGCAGAAACGCCGCGUGCGGGAUGCCGUGCUUCGGGUUGAAAACCACUUUCGCCUGUGACGAACACUGAGUGACGGUAAUGGGUAAAGAAGCAACGGCUAACUACGUG
rnacentral:rRNA from 1 species